rnacentral:rRNA from 1 species
UASCUGUUGCAGUUAAAGCUCGUAGUUGGAUUUCGGGCGCGGCGACGCGGUCCGCCGUUCUGCGGUGCGCACUGCGGCCGACGCGCCUUGGUGCCGGGGACGCGCUCCUGGGCUUCACUGUCUGGGACGCGGAGUCGGCGAGGUGACCUUGAGCAAACAGGGGUGUUCAAAGCAAGCGAUCGCUCUGAACUUUUUAGCAUGGAAUCACGCGAUAGGACUCUGGCCUAUCCCGUUGGUCUGUAGGACCGGAGUAAUGAUUAAGAGGGACAGUCGGGGGCAUUCGUAUUUCAUUGUCAGAGGUGAAAUUCUUGGAUUUAUGAAAGACGAACUUCUGCGAAAGCAUUUGCCAAGGAUGUUUUCAUUGAUCAAGAACGAAAGUUGGGGGCUCGAAGA